rnacentral:rRNA from 1 species
GGGGAGGCAGCAGUGGGGAAUAUUGCACAAUGGGGGAAACCCUGAUGCAGCCAUGCCGCGUGUGUGAAGAAGGCCUUCGGGUUGUAAAGCACUUUCAGUAGGGAGGAAGGUAGUGUAGUUAACACCUGCAUUAUUUGACGUUACCUACAGAAGAAGCACCGGCUAACUCUGUGCCAGCAGCCGCGGUAAUACGGAGGGUGCGAGCGUUAAUCGGAAUUACUGGGCGUAAAGCGCAUGCAGGCGGCCUGUUAAGUCAGAUGUGAAAGCCCGGGGCUUAACCUCGGAAUUGCAUUUGAAACUGGCAGGCUAGAGUCUUGUAGAGGGGGGUAGGAAUUUCAGGUGUAGCGGUGAAAUGCGUAGAGAUCUGAAGGAAUACCAGUGGCGAAGGCGGCCCCCUGGACAAAGACUGACGCUCAGAUGCGAAAGCGUGGGGAGCAAACAGGAUUAGAUACCCUGGUAG